GUGUAUGUGUGUGUGUGUGUGUGUAUACAUGCAUGCACAUGUGUCAGUGCCUGCAGAGGCCAGAAGGCGGCAUCAGAUCUGGAUGUUGGGUUCUCUUAACUGCUAAGCCAUCUCUCCAGCCACCAAAAGUAAUUUCAUAAAACUCUUUUAAUGUGAUGGUGGUUUUAAAAAUACCUGAUUUUCUCCUGUUUGUUUUUACUGGAGACUGGAUUUAGUGCCUCACACACGCUAGGUCGACAGUUAUCACUGAGGUACAUCUCUACCCCUCAUUUUACUCUUUAUUUUGGAGAGAAAAGGCUAGCUACUGUUAGGGGUUUGUCUGGUGCUGCUAUGUAUUCAAAUGCUAACCACUGGCCCCCAAGAGCUGAUGGCAGCCCCAAGAAGCACAUUCUCAGCUCACCAACUUUCUCUGAUUGGUUAAGUAACGGUGGCUGACAGCCCCUUAAUGGAGAGACAGAGGUGGGUGGGGUUUCAGUUAUGGGGGGGGGGGUGCAGGGAGGGAGAGACAGGGACACAGAGAAAAGGAGUAAGAAGACAGGAGAGCAGGAGAUCUCCAUUAGGUGGGAUGGUCCAGGAGUACAUGGCCAAGAGUUAAGUGGUCCUUCGUUCGGAGUAAAGAGAUGGAGCAGAAAAAAAUGGGUGAGCAAGUAACUUGGGGAGCACAGCUGAGGAAGCCAGUCUAGCGCAGAGAAAUAGUUUAGGGGUAAUCACUCAGUAUUUAGGCUAAAACUGAUUAAAUAAAUUGAUAGGACUCUGACUCAAUUAUUGGGGGGCUGGCUAGGUCAUAAUAAGAACCAAUAGCAUCAAUAAAUAUGAUAUAAAAAGCUAGUCUUAAACUCAUUUUGCAGCCCAAGCUGGCCUUGAACUUGUGAUCCUGAGUUGGGAUAAUCUUUUCAUACACUGUGUCUCUGUCCUUCCUCACCUGCCUAAGCAUUUUCUGAUUGGUUUAGUAAAGAGCUGAAUGGCCAAUAGCCGGGCAGGAAAGGAUAGGCAGGUUUUCCAUACAGAGAUAGGAACUCUGGGAAGGAUCAGGCAUUGUAGAUUCAAGGAGGGAGGAACAGGUACCAGGACUGAAGGGAGAGGGUAACAACCAUGUGGGAAAAUGUAGAUUAGAAUAAAUGGGUUAAUUUAAGUGUGACAUGUUAGCUAACUGGUAGCUAGCUACAGUCUAUGCUUAAUAAAUAAAUAUAAAUCUCUCUAUGACUACUAGGCAGCUGGUGGGUCGAGACAUUCUAGCAAUACCCCUGCCUUACCCCAUCCCCCAAGCCCCCCAAGUAACUAGGAUUACAGCUUGGGCCACUAGAUAAGCCAUGGCCCUUGUUUUGCUGAGUCAAGGCCUCACAGUGUAACUUAAACCAACCUGGAACCAAGUAAUCCAGGCUGGCCUCAAACUUGUGAAAACUCUUGUCUAGGCCUCCUCAGUUGUAGGACUGAUUAUAGGCAUGAGUCACCAUAUCCAGUUUUUAAGAUAGGGGUCUCAGUAGAUUCCAGGCUGGUCUCAAAUUUCUGCCUCAGCUUUUGAAGUACUGGGAUUACAGGCACACACUACUGUACCAGGCACAAAGAUUUUGGCCAUUUCAUGGUUGUUUGUAGGCAGGGUUUCAUGCAUCUCAAGUGGCUCUAAAACUCCCUCCAUAGUCACAGAUGACCUUGAACUUCUGCCUGCCGGCACCUCUGGGAAUGCACUCAAUGGUAGGGAUUCACCAAAGGUUUUGUGAGUAGUAGGCAAACACUCUAUCAACCAAGCUACACCCCCACUGCCACGGCCCGCUCCCCUUUUUAGGGGCAAUGGGCCUCAAGGCCUUGUGCAUGCUAGGAAGGUAUCUACCACUGAGCUGCAUCCCCAGUGGGGCUUUUGACAUGAGCUCGGGUAGUUGUUCCAUACGCAGCAUCAGUUGGCAGUUACUGAGCCUUCUGGAUACAGAACUUGCAUUAGGUAUUUCAGCCUGUGGCAGAGGGAUAGGUAAGGCAUUGAUUUAAAUUCCAUGGGACUGCAUACACGCGUAUCAGUGGCUGCUGCACCUCACUUUUAUGUAGAUGCUAAGGAUCCAAACGCAAGACUCUUGUGCUCAUUCAAUAAGUACUCUACUGACACAUUCCCUUGUCACCAACACUUCUUUGAACCAGGACCAUAUGUGCACGUACAGUGCUGGGAUAUAGGCAGAGAGGUGAACCAAACCAUUUGGGCCUUCCACAUCCCUAUAUUAGCAGACUUGGGCUGCCUCCCUGGCCUCCUAUUUCCUACUUACAUGCAGACCUUGGACAAUUUUUAUCUAAUAACAGCUUUCUGCUCACCUUCAGUAUAAAGCUAUUCCUUUAGCUCCAAGACUAAUGGCCCCUUAACAAUGCUACUUGGUCACUUAACAAGGACUUUUGUAGUGAGAACUUUGGUUUCUUUAAAACACAAUUAACUAUUAUAAGUAUAUACUUGUGUUAAUCCAGGUGUGGGCUAUGGGCUGCUUCAGGCUGUCCACAGCGGCUGACUGUGACUUGCCUCGUGCUCUGGUAGGAGCAUGGUUUUGCCACUGCUGAUAAUUUCUACUCUUGUAGAUAACUGGAGUUCUAGGAACUUUUUCAGAGGGUAUAUAAAUGCUAGGGCUCCUGAGAGACAUGGUGGGUUGUUGGGCUCAGCUUUUUAAGUUGCCAUGUGCAAAGAAGAAACAAGAAGAAACUAGACAUCCUGAUGGUAAAGAUCAAACUCACCUCAAAGAGCUCCUACUCAGCAGGAAGUAGUCUACUAAUGUUGCCCCUUUCUGCUCCUGACUUUAUUCAAGCUCUUCCCUCUCUCCUCUAUCCUUUUUCCUCUCCUAUACAGAGUUAGGGGGUUGUAAAGUAGAAGAAAAGAGGUGGAGAAGGGUGAAAGAGAGAUGAACCCACAAAGUAACAAAGACCAGCUAUAUAACUUACACUCGGCAAAACCAAAAUCAAGUCUCUAUCGAGCAUGCCCCACCCCCCAUUCCAAUUUUCUUAGCUUGUACAGUAAAACCCAGUGCCAUUUUCACCCCUCUUCACUUCCAAUUUUCAAAUAAAACCUGGUGGCUUGGCCUUCCCCACACAUCUGGAAUCUAAGGGCUUCCAUGUCUACAGCAUCUCUACAUGUCCUACUCAAGCAGGCUCUUACCUCAUCUUGCUUCAGGCUUCAUCCCUCUUCAGUGCACUCUCAACAGAAGACAGAACAAGGUCAGCAAGAUGGUUAAGCUCUUGCCUGAUACCUCAGCUUAAUCCCACAUGGUGGAAAGAGGACUUUAUCCUCUGACCUCCACUCCUCCUAUGUUACAGCAUGUGUGAUGUGCACCAACACACACACACACACACACACACACACACACACACACACCCCUACCUGCUCAAUAAGAGAAAAAUCAUGCCUGAAA
rnacentral:sRNA from 1 species